rnacentral:rRNA from 1 species
UUUGAUCCUGGCUCAGAACGAACGCUGGCGGCAGGCUUAAUACAUGCAAGUCGAGCGCAUCCUUCGGGAUGAGCGGCGGACGGGUGAGUAACGCGUGGGAAUAUACCCGACUCUAAGGAAUAGCCACUGGAAACGGUGAGUAAUACCUUAUACGCCCUUCGGGGGAAAGAUUUAUCGGAGACGGAUUAGCCCGCGUUAGAUUAGGUAGUUGGUGGGGUAAUGGCCUACCAAGCCGACGAUCUAUAGCUGGUUUGAGAGGAUGAUCAGCCACACUGGGACUGAGACACGGCCCAGACUUCUACGGAAGGCAGCAGUAGGGAAUCUUGGACAAUGGGGGAAACCCUGAUCCAGCCAUGCCGCGUGUGUGACGAAGGCCCUAGGGUCGUAAAGCACUUUCGCCAGGGAUGAUAAUGACAGUACCUGGUAAAGAAACCCCGGCUAACUCCGUGCCAGCAGCCGCGGUAAUACGGAGGGGGUUAGCGUUGUUCGGAAUUACUGGGCGUAAAGCGCACGUAGGCGGAUUAGAAAGUUGGGGGUGAAAUCCCAGGGCUCAACCCUGGAACUGCCUCCAAAACUACUAGUCUAGAGUUCGAGAGAGGUGAGUGGAAUUCCGAGUGUAGAGGUGAAAUUCGUAGAUAUUCGGAGGAACACCAGUGGCGAAGGCGGCUCACUGGCUCGAUACUGACGCUGAGGUGCGAAAGUGUGGGGAGCAAACAGGAUUAGAUACCCUGGUAGUCCACACCGUAAACGAUGAAUGCCAGACGUCGGGUAGCAUGCUAUUCGGUGUCACACCUAACGGAUUAAGCAUUCCGCCUGGGGAGUACGGUCGCAAGAUUAAAACUCAAAUGAAUUGACGG